rnacentral:lncRNA from 1 species
CUAACCUUAACUUGAUAAACGCUGCACAAAUUUUAAUGCAAUGGAUGUAUAAUAUGAAUAAUGCACAAUGCGUAUGCAGGGCCUAGCCUCGUGAUAUAGGUGGCUUAAUUGGCCUAAUAGUGGAUGUUAACGAUUUGAACACUGGAUUAUAGAUGGAACUUAUCAAGAUUAUAGAAACACAUGUUAAAUACGAUUAAUAAAGGUAAAGCUAGUUACAGUUGUUUUGUAAAAAUAGAAAGUGUUUGUACAAAGAUAAAUGGAUCAGCCGAAGUCUAGACCAGACACACUUCAAUUUACAGAAUCUGAGACAGAGCUCCCUGGUGCGGAUCUUGACAUGCCACUUCCUAUGGACUUUGGACGUCUGUCCCCCGGAACUGUUGUAUUUCACCACACAAAAGUGAAAUUUGUCCCAGUGUUUGCACAGAGGUCUUCUGCAGACACGAGAGACCACGGGGUCUGAAGCUGAUACAGAAACACGCAUUCAUGUUUCAACAAACACACAGGCAGAGUGUGAAGUCGGUAAUACAAGCAACGAAGACAGUGCAACAGAAGAAGAGUGUCAUGUUGACAAAGAUUCCAGAGAGGAGAUAAUCAGAAUAAACCUUGAGAAACACCUGAUAUACAUCAGUCAUUGUAUCAAUCCAGAUGAUCUGAUUUUACAUCUGCACUGCUUUUCUGAAGAACAAAAGUCAGAUAUUACGCUCGGAGAAAAAUCGGAUAAAGGCAUCAAGAAAGGCCCUAGAAAUGUUACUACAUGAUGUUGAGGAACCAGGGAGAUUUGUUGAACUGAGGGAUGCUCUUCUCGGAAAAUGA